ACUACUAAAGAUACCGACAUUAUCUUAAGUACGGUCUAUCGUUUAGGUAUUCAAAUCCAAAGGCUCAGUAGACUUUAGAUUUGAAUAUCGAUACUAUAGUACGUAGUUUAAACCGAAACAAGAACAAUUUGAACGGAUUUCAUCGUGUCUGAUUUAUACAAUUAUAAACCAGAUAUGAUGAAAUCCGUUUGAUUUGUUUUCGUUUCGUAAGUACUGCUGACAGUUUUUUUCGGAUAUAAACGUACACGAAAUUGGUGAUAAUGUUAUGUUUCUUCAUAAUCGUAAAUUCGUAAAUAUUUUACAAAUUAAAUAUUACCUACAUCAAUGUACCUACAACACAAACCAAAAUGUAUACAAUUUUAUAUAUUACCACCCGAUUUAUGUCAAGUAUAAUGGAAAUAAUUUGGGCUUCAGAGUGGUUUUCGAAACACGUCACAACUAAAAUUAAAUGCCAAAUGAGC